UCCGGGAUAGUCCAAUUGGCAGUGACGCCCGGUUCUGGUCCGGGAGAUUGGGGUUCGAGUCCCUGUCCCGGAG
rnacentral:tRNA from 1 species